GCAUAUUUUAGUAGGCUUUUCAACCUAUUAUUAUAAUAAGUUUACUAUUAAAUCCAAUUUCAUUAAUAAAAUUAUUAUUAAUUCUAUAAAUAAAAAUAUUAUUGUAACCCAUGCAAACCUUAGUCAUAUGCUGCAUUUUGAUUUAAUUCUUAUAUAAAAUAUAAAACUAAAUUUUAACUUUAAAACUUAUUAAAAUAACAAUAUACAAACUAUUCAACACUAAGUAACAUAUAAUCGUGGAGUAUCAAUUAUAACACAGGUUCCCCUAAAGCUUUAAAAUACCGCCAGGUCCUUUAGGUUUCA
rnacentral:rRNA from 1 species